rnacentral:rRNA from 1 species
GAUGAACGCUGGCGGCGUGCCUAAUACAUGCAAGUCGAGCGAACGGACGAGAAGCUUGCUUUUCUGAUGUUAGCGGCGGACGGGUGAGUAACACGUGGAUAACCUACCUAUAAGACUGGGAUAACUUCGGGAAACCGGAGCUAAUACCGGAUAAUAUUUUGAACCGCAUGGUUCAAAAGUGAAAGACGGUCUUGCUGUCACUUAUAGAUGGAUCCGCGCUGCAUUAGCUAGUUGGUAAGGUAACGGCUUACCAAGGCAACGAUGCAUAGCCGACCUGAGAGGGUGAUCGGCCACACUGGAACUGAGACACGGUCCAGACUCCUACGGGAGGCAGCAGUAGGGAAUCUUCCGCAAUGGGAGAAAGCCUGACGGAGAAACGCCGCGUGAGUGAUGAAGGUCUUCGGAUCGUAAAACUCUGUUAUUAGGGAAGAACAUAUGUGUAAGUAACUGUGCACAUCUUGACGGUACCUAAUCAGAAAGCCACGGCUAACUACGUG